rnacentral:sRNA from 1 species
GGCUUCUCAAAGCUUUGAUGGUUUGGCCAAAGUCCAUAUGAGUUCUUAUCUUUGUAUCUUCUAACAAUGAAACACUACUUAGGCCUUUAGGAUAAGGUUGCGGUAUAAGUUCUUAUACUCAAUCAUACACAUGACAUCAAGUCAUAUUCGACUCCAAAACACUAACCAAGCUUCUUCUUGCUUCUCAAAGCUUUGAUGGUUUAGCCGAAGUCCAUAUGAGUCUUUGUAUUUGUAUCUUCUAACAAGGAAACACUACUUAGGCUUUUAGGAUAAGAUUGUGGUUUAAGUUCUUAUACUCAAUCAUACACAUGACAUCAAGUCAUAGUCGACUCCAAAACAAUAACCAAGCUUCUUCUUGCUUCUCAAAGCUUUGAUGGUUUAGCCGAAGUCCAUAUGAGUCUUUGUGUUUGUAUCUUCUAACAAGAAAACACAACUUAGGCUUUUAGGAUAUGGUUGCGGUUUAAGUUCUUAUACUCAAUCAUACACAUGACAUCAUGUCAUAUUCGACUCCAAAACACUAAUCAAGCUUCUUCUUGCUUCUCAAACCUUUGAUGGUUUAGCCGAAGUCCUUAUGAGUCUUUGUGUUUGUAUCUUCUAACAAGGAAACACUACUUAGGCUUUUAGGAUAAGAUUGCGGUUUAAGUUCUUAUACUCAAUCAUACACAUGACAUCAAGUUAUAUUCGACUCCAAAACACUAACCAAGCUUCUUCUUGCUUCUCAAAGCUUUGAUGGUUAAGCCAAAUUCCAAAUGAGUCUUUAGUUUUGUAUCUUCUAACAAGGAAACACUACUUAGGCUUUUAGGAUAAGGUUGCGGUUUAAGUUCUUAUACUCAAUCAUACACAUGACAUCAACUCAUAUUCGACUCCAAAACAAUAAUCAAGCUUCUUCUUGCUUCUAAAAGCUUUGAUGGUUUAGCCAAAGUCCAUAUGAGUCUUUGUCUUUGUAUCUUCUAACAAGGAAAUACUACAUAGGCUUUUAGGAUAAGGUUGCGGUUUAAGUUCUUAUACUCAAUCAUACAUAUGACAUCAAGUCAUAUUCGACUCCAAACCACUAACCAAGCUUCUUCUUGCUUCUCAAAGCUUUGAUGGUUUAGCCGAAGUCCAUAUGAGUCUUUGUCUUUGUAUCUUCUAACAAGGAAACACUACUUAGGCUUUUAGGAUAAGAUUGCGGUUUAAGUUCUUAUACUCAAUCAUACACAUGACAUCAAGUUAUAUUCGACUCCAAAACACUAACCAAGCUUCUUCUUGCUUCUCAAAGCUUUGAUGGUUUACCAAAAGUCCAUAUGACUCUUUAUCUUUGUAUCUUCUAACAAGGAAACACUACUGAGGCCUUUAGGAUAAGGUUGAGGUUCAAGUUCUUAUACUCAAUCAUACACAUGACAUACAGUCAUAUUCGACUCCAAAACAAUAACCAAGCCUCUUCUUGCUUCUAAAAGCUUUGAUGGUUUAGCCAAAGUCCAUAUGAGUCUUUGUCUUUGUAUCUUCUAACAAGGAAACAUUACUUACGCUUUUAGGAUAAUGUUGCGGUUUAAGUUCUUAUACUCAAUCAUACACAUGACAUCAAGUCAUAUUCGACUCCAAAACACUAACCAAGCUUCUUCUUGCUUCUCAAAGCUUUGAUGGUUUAGCCGAAGUCCAUAUGAGUCUUUGUCUUUGUAUCUUCUAACAAGGAAACACUACUUAGGCUUUUAGGAUAAGAUUGCAGUUUAAGUUCUUUUACUCAAUCAUACACAUGACAUCAAGUUAUAUUCGACUCCAAAACACUAACCAAGCUUCUUCUUGCUUCUCAAAGCUUUGAUGGUUUGCCAAAACUCCAUAUGACUCUUUAUCUUUGUAUCUUCUAACAAGGAAACACUACUUAGGCCUUUAGGAUAAGGUUGAGGUUUACGUUCUUAUACUCAAUCAUACACAUGACAUACAGUCAUAUUCGACUCCAAAACAAUAACCAAGCCUCUUCUUGCUUCUCAAAGCUUUGAUGGUUUAGCCGAAGUCCAUAUGAGUCUUUGUGUUUGUAUCUUCUAACAAGGAAAUACAACUUAGGCUUUUAGGAUAUGGUUGCGGUUUAAGUUCUUAUACUCAAUCAUACACAUGACAUCAUGUCAUAUUCGACUCCAAAACACUAAUCAAGCUUCUUCUUGCUUCUCAAACCUUUGAUGGUUUAGCCGAAGUCCUUAUGAGUCUUUGUGUUUGUAUCUUCUAACAACGAAACACUACUUAGGCUUUUAGGAUAAGAUUGCGGUUUAAGUUCUUAUACUCAAUCAUACACUUGACAUCAAGUCAUAUUCGACUCCAAAACUCUAACCAAGCUUCUUCUUGCUUCUCAACGCUUUGAUGGUUUAGCCGAAGUCCAUAUGUCUUUGUCUUUGUAUCUUCUAAGAAGGAAACACUACUUAGGCUUUUAGGAUAAGGUUGCGAUUUAAGUUCUUAUACUCAAUCAUACACAUGACAUCAAGUUAUAUUCGACUCCAAAACACUAACCAAGCUUCUUUUUGCUUCUAAAAGCUUUGAUGGUUUAGCCAAAGUCCAUAUGAGUCUUUGUCUUUGUAUCUUCUAACAAGGAAACAUUACUUACGCUUUUAGGAUAAUGUUGCGGUUUAAGUUCUUAUACUCAAUCAUACACAUGACAUCAAGUCAUAUUCGACUCCAAAACACUAACCAAGCUUCUUCUUGCUUCUCAAAGCUUUGAUGGUUUAGCCGAAGUCCAUAUGAGUCUUUGUCUUUGUAUCUUCUAACAAGGAAACACUACUUAGGCUUUUAGGAUAAGAUUGCAGUUUAAGUUCUUUUACUCAAUCAUACACAUGACAUCAAGUUAUAUUCGACUCCAAAACACUAACCAAGCUUCUUCUUGCUUCUCAAAGCUUUGAUGGUUUGCCAAAACUCCAUAUGACUCUUUAUCUUUGUAUCUUCUAACAAGGAAACACUACUUAGGCCUUUAGGAUAAGGUUGAGGUUUACGUUCUUAUACUCAAUCAUACACAUGACAUACAGUCAUAUUCGACUCCAAAACAAUAACCAAGCCUCUUCUUGCUUCUCAAAGCUUUGAUGGUUUAGCCGAAGUCCAUAUGAGUCUUUGUGUUUGUAUCUUCUAACAAGGAAACACAACUUAGGCUUUUAGGAUAUGGUUGCGGUUUAAGUUCUUAUACUCAAUCAUACACAUGACAUCAUGUCAUAUUCGACUCCAAAACACUAAUCAAGCUUCUUCUUGCUUCUCAAACCUUUGAUGGUUUAGCCGAAGUCCUUAUGAGUCUUUGUGUUUGUAUCUUCUAACAACGAAACACUACUUAGGCUUUUAGGAUAAGAUUGCGGUUUAAGUUCUUAUACUCAAUCAUACACUUGACAUCAAGUCAUAUUCGACUCCAAAACUCUAACCAAGCUUCUUCUUGCUUCUCAACGCUUUGAUGGUUUAGCCGAAGUCCAUAUGUCUUUGUCUUUGUAUCUUCUAAGAAGGAAACACUACUUAGGCUUUUAGGAUAAGGUUGCGAUUUAAGUUCUUAUACUCAAUCAUACACAUGACAUCAAGUUAUAUUCGACUCCAAAACACUAACCAAGCUUCUUUUUGCUUCUCAAAGCUUUGAUGGUUUAGCCAAAGUCUAUAUGAGUCUUUAGCUUUGUAUCUUCUAACAAGGAAACACUACUUAUGCCUUUAGGAUAAGGUUGCGGUUUAAGAUCUUAUACUCAAUCAUACACAUGAUAUCAAGUCAUAUUCGACUCCAAAACAAUAACCAAGCUUCUUCUUGCUUCUCAAAGCUUUGAUGGUUUAGCCGAAGUCCAUAUGAGUCUUUGUCUUUGUAUCUUCUAACAAGGAAACACUACUUAGGCUUUUAAGAUAACAUUGCGGUUUUAAGUUCUUAUACUCAAUAAUACACAUGACAUCAAGUCAUAUUCGACUCCAAAACACUAACCAAGCUUCUUCUUGCUUCUCAAAGCUUUGAUGGUUAAGCCAAAUUCCAAAUGAGUCUUUGUUUUUGUAUCUUCUAACAAGGAAACACUACUUAGGCUUUUAAGAUAAGGUUGCAGUUUAAGUUCUUAUACUCAAUCAUACACAUGACAUCAAGUUAUAUUCGACUCCAAAACACUAAUCAAGCUUCUUCUUCUUGCUUCUCAAGGCUUUGAUGGUUUAGCCAAAGUCCAUAUGAGUCUUUGUCUUUGUAUCUUCGAACAACGGAACAGUACUUAGGCUUUUAGGAUAAGAUUGUGGUUUAAGUUCUUAUACUCAAUCAUACACAUGAGAUCAAGUCAUAUUCGAGUCCAAAACACUAACCAAGCUUCUUCUUGCUUCUCAAAGCUUUGUUGGUUUAGCCAAAGUCCAGAUGAGUCUUUAUCUUUGUAUCUUCUAACAAGAAAACACUACUUACGCUUUUAGGAUAAUGUUGCGGUUUAAGUUCUUAUACUCAAUCAUACACAUGACAUCAAGUCAUAUUCGACUCCAAAACACUAACCAAGCUUCUUCUUGCUUCUCAAAGCUUUGAUGGUUUAGCCGAAGUCCAUAUGAGUCUUUGUCUUUGUAUCUUCUAACAAGGAAACACUACUUAGGCUUUUAGGAUAAGAUUGCAGUUUAAGUUCUUUUACUCAAUCAUACACAUGACAUCAAGUUAUAUUCGACUCCAAAACACUAACCAAGCUUCUUCUUGCUUCUCAAAGCUUUGAUGGUUUAGCCAAAACACCAUA